UAUUAGCAGCUAAGUCUUUUCCAGAAUCUCUCCAGCUCCUGUCCCCUCACGUUCCUUUGGCUAAUUUGGGUCCCAUGCCCUGUGUUGGAUCAUCUGUUGUCAAUUCACUAUCGACACUACCCCUUCUAAGGUCUCCUCUGCUUUGAAGAAGAGAAGCCUGGAACUAUGUUUGCCAGAAUCCCCUUUGUCGUAUGGUUCCAGGGUGUAAUGUAACAACGAGAGGCACCCUUGAGCCAUAGUGAUGAAGAGAUCAUUCUCUAGAGUCAGUUGUGGUCAGAAGUAUGAAUAGGUGUGAUACUGCUAAAAAUGUCAAGGUUUUGAUGCCAAGGAAAUUCCUUAGUAAACAUCUAUGCGAUAAACUCCAUCUUGGAGUCUGUCUCCCAGGGAACCAAACCCAUGACAACAAUUGUAUGACAUCUUUAAGUACUAAAACCUAAAUGCCAACCGAGAAUUCUGUAUGCAGCAAGAUUAUCUUGCAAAAAGGAAAGCAAAAUAUAGAUAUUUUCAGAUAAAACCUGAGAUCAUGUGUCACCAGCAGACUUGUGCUAUAGCAAAUGCUAAAGGGAAUUUUUCAAGCUGGAAGGGAAUGACACUAGAUGGUAACUUGGAUCCAAUGAAAAUAAUAAGGACACAGGAAAUGGAGUGAGCAAAUAAAAAUGCUUCUGUUUAAUCUACCAUGAAAAACUGGAAGUCUCUCUGAGCUGUCAUAAAU